CCUACGGGAGGCAGCAGUGGGGAAUAUUGCACAAUAGGGGAAACCCUGAUGCAGCCAUGCCGCGUGUAUGAAGAAGGCCUUCGGGUUGUAAAGCACUUUCAGUAGGGAGGAAAGGGUGUAGUUUAAUACGCUAUAUCUGUGACGUUACCUACAGAAGAAGGACCGGCUAACUCCGUGCCAGCAGCCGCGGUAAU
rnacentral:rRNA from 1 species